UGUCCCGAGUGAUUCUGAUCCACAGUGAAAACUGAAAACUGUUCUAAUAUUCACCUUGCCGGAAAAGUAAGACUAUGUGAAGUGAACCCUCCUUCAAAUUGGAGAAGGAAGCUUUGAGAUUUCCAGGGAAGAUGGAAGACAGAACAGCUUGAGCCAUUUGGGUGCGGUGUAGAACUGGAAAUUGUGUCAAGGUUGACUGAGCCCUGUUUCUGGUCUAAGAAAGUUAAAACUUGUAUUCAAAAUGGAUAUCAAGACAACAUAAAAUGAAAUGACUGAUUUUGAAGAUUGAGAAUUAGGAAUAUUGUACAGAUGCUGUCAUUCCUACAUGAAGGAGGCAGAAGAAUGUAGCAAGCU
rnacentral:lncRNA from 10 species